rnacentral:rRNA from 1 species
AAGAGACAGCAGCAGCCACGGUAAUACAGAGGGUGCGAGCGUUAAUCGGAUUUACUGGGCGUAAAGCGUGCGUAGGCGGCUUCUUAAGUCGGAUGUGAAAUCCCUGAGCUUAACUUAGGAAUUGCAUUCGAUACUGGGAAGCUAGAGUAUGGGAGAGGAUGGUAGAAUUCCAGGUGUAGCGGUGAAAUGCGUAGAGAUCUGGAGGAAUACCGAUGGCGAAGGCAGCCAUCUGGCCUAAUACUGACGCUGAGGUACGAAAGCAUGGGGAGCAAACAGGAUUAGAUACCCCCGUAGUCCCUGUCUCUUAUAC